GAGGUUAACAUGAUGGACUACAGGACAGUGCUGCUGUUUUUAACUGUCUUUUGGACAGGAAGCCACUCUCAGACUCUAAAAGAAUCUGAACCAGCAAAUAAAAGACCAGGAGAAUCCCACACCCUGACCUGUACCGCUUCAGGAUUCACAUUCCCAGAUUAUGCAAUGCACUGGAUCAGACAGGCUCCUGGGAAAGGACUGGAGUGGGUUGCUGGCAUAAGUUGGCGCAGUGGUACCAGCCAGUGGUACUCUUCAUCAGUCCGAGGCCGCUUUACCAUCUCCAGAGACAACAGCAAGCAGCAGGUGUAUCUGCAGAUGAACAGCCUGAAGACUGAAGAUUCAGCUGUUUAUUUCUGCGCUCGACAGACACAGUGACUGAAGUUGGUUGAGCAGCUGUAC